CAAAUGUAAGCUGUAAAGCGAAAACACAGGGCUUGCUUUGAUUAUUGCAUCAACUUUUUAGGAUUUGCUUAUGUUCCCGAUUAUAUAAUUUUAUCUUAGUAGGCUUUGUGAAAAUAGCUAUCAUUUUAUCGAGUCGAAAAAGACAUAAUAGGGAGUCUGAGUCCCUGUCAAAGUUACCUUACCUCUCACAUUGAGGCUCGAGAAAGUCAAAAUCGCUUAGCAGGGACUUUUUCUAUUCGAGAAAUGUUAGCCAGCACUCGAGAAACCGGCCCUUAAAGAACUAAGAACAGGCAUCUCUUUUUGGAUUAUGGUAGAUACCGGAUCAACACGUACAUCUAGAUGAAUUCCACAACGGCAAUAAACCAGAAAUUGGAAAAACUGAAAAUUCUGCUGCCGCCGAAAAUAAAAAUAAAUUAAAAGUCCAGACUCUGAACCCAAUUUUCAACGGCAUUCACGCAUAAUUCGGCCGAUACUACUGACUGACUACCCUAGACGCUUAAUUGUUGAUCUGACAUGACGAUUAUGUCAUAAAUUGGACGUAGCGCUCUUAAAGUUGAUGCCACUGACUCCGAAAAUCGAUAGUAAAUUUUAAUAAUUUGGACUCGUUGGAUUGUUGUAUGACAAACGAUACUGAA